CCUAGCCUCAUCUCUUCUCCACCAGCAAACCCUAGAUCCCCUUUUAGCUUCAACACCGAUCAGCUACUACAAUCGAAGAUCGGCAUAUUCGAGCCUCAUAACUAUGGUUUGUAGCCCCGAGAUCCUUCUUCCGACUUCAAUUUCAACGAAGCAAAGAAGAAUCUAUGGCCAAUUCGCAAAGGUAAGACCUCGUCUUUCUCCUUCUCUUUAUUUUUUUUAAAAUACAAUAGCGAAAGUUCGAAAAAAAGAUUCAACAGAGAACUAAAGAAAAUAGAAAACAGAAAAUCACCUUAAAAAAUCUUUCGAAACGCCUUUUUUGAUAUUUAAUAUGCGUACUCAGUGUGCGUAAAUUUUACCAGGUACAUUCGGUGGCUUUUAUAGCCAGAAAAAUACAAAUCUAAAAAUACAAAAAAAAAUCUAUUUUUCUUUUUGCUAUUUUUCAUUAUAUUUUGCUGCUUCUCGUGUAUUCUUUUGCUGUGUUUGUUUCUCCUUCUCGCAGGUUCUGUUGAUGUGGAGGUGUAUGGAGAAAAAACCACUCGUGGGGAGGCCGUUCGUGGGAAGCCACUCGUGGGAGCCUGAUUCUGGCUAGCUGCGGUGCUGGUGUAUUCUAGAAUGCUCUAGGGUUUCUGGUGCUUUCACGAUAUUGGGCUCAUUUAGGCCAAUUUUGGGUUUUGGGUUUGGGCCAUUGUAAUUAGGCCUAGGUUUUAGGCUGAUAUGAUUUUAGUAUUUGGAUUUACUGAAAAUUGUAAAUGGACUAUUUGGGCUUUUGUAAUCUAUGGACUUUAUUUUGCUUUUA
rnacentral:lncRNA from 1 species